rnacentral:rRNA from 1 species
UACAGAGGUCUCAAGCGUUGUUCGGAUUCAUUGGGCGUAAAGGGUGCGUAGGCGGUUUUUUAAGUUUGAUGUGAAAUCCCGGGGCUCAACCCUGGAAUUGCAUUGAAUACUGAAGAACUAGAGAUCUGGAGAGGAAACUGGAAUUUACGGUGUAGCAGUGAAAUGCGUAGAGAUCGUAAGGAAGACCAGUGGCGAAGGCGAGUUUCUGGACAGAUACUGACGCUGAGGCACGAAGGCCAGGGGAGCAAACGGG